AUCACCACCACACGCACGAAGAUGUGUGUUGGUUUAAAUUCUGCACGCUAAGAUGAUUGACACGCAACAGAAGGUCGAGCUGGCGGGCCAACGGAUCGAGCCGCUUUAAGCCGCGUGAAGAAGAAACACGCCAAUCUGACCAACGGCGGAAAUCACUACGCGCUGGUACGAGGGCGUCGGAAGGAUAUAACGGUCUCGCACUUUGAACGUGGAAUGUGUCUUCUUUAUGGGAACGUGCGGCCGAGACGUCCUGCAUGUGCACGAGAGAGCCGCAUAUAAACUGAUCCUCCCGAUGUCAUCUGGCCUCUGAAAUAGAGUGGGGCCGUCAAUCACACGGCUGCUAUUCCAGGGUCCACAGACCGGGACAGCCAAACCCCAGAGGGAAUCUUUAUCCGUACGUGUGCCCACUAUUGGGCUGCAACAACUGAACACACUAAUCAAUUACCAGUAGUUAAAAAUUAAUAAUAAUCUGUUAGAAUUUUGGCAUGGUUAUUAAUCACUAUGUUUACCUUCAGCAUUUUUAGCUAGGAGUUGAUCUUAUCCAGAGCGCACAGUUUGCAUUCUUUUCCCCCCAUAUAUUCCAAUUAGGCCAGGCUAAGAUGCUGCAUGUGAGACUGGACUGGUGGUCAGAAUAUUGCUGAGAUCCUUCAUUGUGUCAAUAAAUUCUUCAACGUUUUUUUUUUUUUAAGCAAAAGAUAGAUUUUUCUGGGGAGAAAAGUGUAGCAUAAGCAAUGAGGACAAAAUUGAUAGCUGCAG